GACAGAGGGUGCAAACGUUGUUCGGAAUUACUGGGCGUAAAGCGCGUGUAGGCAGCUUUGAAAGUCGGGUGUGAAAGCCCUGGGCUCAACCCAGGAAGUGCACUCGAAACUUCCGAGCUCGAGUCCUGGAGAGGAAGGCGGAAUUCUCGGUGUAGAGGUGAAAUUCGUAGAUGUCGAGAGGAACACCGGUGGCGAAGGCGGCUUUCUGGACAGUGACUGACGCUGAGACGCGAAAGCGUGGGGAGCAAACAGG
rnacentral:rRNA from 1 species